rnacentral:rRNA from 1 species
UACGGGGGAUGCAAGCGUUAUCCGGAUUUAUUGGGUUUAAAGGGUGCGCAGGUUGUUUGAUAAGUCAGUGGUGAAAGUCUGUCGCUUAACGGUAGGAUUGCCAUUGAUACUGUUAGACUUGAAUAUGGAUGAGGUAGGCGGAAUGUGUAGUGUAGCGGUGAAAUGCAUAGAUAUUACACAGAACACCGAUUGCGAAGGCAGCUUACUAAUCCAUCAUUGACGCUGAGGCACGAAAGCGUGGGGAUCAAACAGGA